GUCACAGCAGCUGGCUCAAGGCUGGGAGGGGAAGUAAAACACUAAAUCUAAGGACCACUCUAUUCACCCUACAGUGACUGCUCUUUUUCCCUCCUGCCACAGUCCAGGGUAGGAGAUACUUCUCCAGGCUCUCACUUAUGGGGGCUUUCCUGCUGGCUACAUCACUGAAAUGGAAUCUCCUAGUGGCCCUUCUCCCUCUACAGCUCUGGUGUUACACUGAAAAACUAGAAGUUUCAAAACAGACAAGGGAAAAAGAGAAACAUCAGAAAGUCUGAUUAAAGUAGAAGCAUCAUAUUUCUAUCAACGUAUCCACUGUGCUUGGCAGGGGAUGGGCCCUUCUGCUGCAGCAUAAGAGGGGUCAUUCAAUGGCCUGUGUCAGCUACUGGGAUGGACCUGCUGUCCAUGGGAUACUGACACCCACUAGUGAAGCAGAUCUUGCUCUGUCUCUUCUCUGUGACACAAUUGCAGGCCCUUGACAUCUUUUGCCUGGAUUAUUGCAACAGCCUCCAAAAGGACUCGUCUGUCUCCAUGAUACCCCUCCAUCCUCCUCUGCAUCAUCACCAAGGGAAUCUUUGUAAAGCAAAGGCAUGAUCAUGCUUAUCACCUGGUGGAAACCCUUCAGAGACUCUCCACUCCCCAGAGCAGGCACCACAUCGUUAGAGUCUACAGAAGGCAGGAGGAAACAGAAAUGAGUGCCGGGUCCAUAG
rnacentral:lncRNA from 10 species